rnacentral:rRNA from 1 species
UACAGAGGUGGCAAGCGUUGUUCGGAAUUACUGGGCGUAAAGCGUGCGCAGGCGGUUUUGUAAGACAGCUGUGAAAUCCCCGGGCUUAACCUGGGAACUGCAUUUGUGACUGGCAGGCUAGAGUAUGGCAGAGGGGGGUAGAAUUCCACGUGUAGCAGUGAAAUGCGUAGAGAUGUGGAGGAAUACCGAUGGCGAAGGCAGCCCCCUGGGCCAAUACUGACGCUCAUGCACGAAAGCGUGGGGAGCAAACAGG